GGGUACUGGGUGCUGGACCGGGGUACUGGGUGCUGGACCGGGGUGCUGGGUGCUGGACCGGGGUGCUGGGUGCUGGACCGGGGUGCUGCUGGAGGCUACUGGACCGGGCAGCAUUCAGCUCCACCUGUAGCUGUACCAGGUAAUCAAGGGCGAGGACAAGACGUUCCUCACAGGGCGCCUCGUAGUCACUGAAGAGCACCGCCACCGCCUCCUCCAUCUGCUCGUGAGGGAACACCUGGUUGGUCUCAUUACUCCGGUACAGGUAACCCCCGUAGGCCGCCACCACCACCAGCAGCGCCACCUUCAGAGGCCCGUCACCUUGACAAUGGUACCAGUGGUGGCGGCGCCAUUGGUGCUAGGAUGGACAGGUUCUCACAGUAGUUACCUGUCCAUUAUCACACGGGACUCUGCUAAUUACUCCCGCCUCCAGCACCAGCCUCCAGACAUCGUCAGAACAUGGUCAUCUCCAGCAGUAUCUACCACC